GUCCACGCCGUAAACGAUGAGUGCUAAGUGUUGGGGGGUUUCCGCCCCUCAGUGCUGCAGCUAACGCAUUAAGCACUCCGCCUGGGGAGUACGGUCGCAAGACUGAAACUCAAAGGAAUUGACGGGGGCCCGCACAAGCGGUGGAGCAUGUGGUUUAAUUCGAAGCAACGCGAAGAACCUUACCAGGUCUUGACAUCCCAUUGACCACUGUAGAGAUACAGUUUUCCCUUCGGGGACAACGGUGACAGGUGGUGCAUGGUUGUCGU
rnacentral:rRNA from 1 species